rnacentral:rRNA from 1 species
CCCUUAGAUGUCCGGGGCCGCACGCGCGCUACACUGAAGGAAUCAGCGUGGCUUUCUCCCUGACCCGAAAGGGUUGGGAAACCCGUUGAAUCUCCUUCGUGAUAGGGAUUGGGGCUUGAAAUUGUUCCCCAUGAACGAGGAAUUCCCAGUAAGCGCGAGUCAUAAGCUCGCGUUGAUUACGUCCCUGCCCUUUGUACACACCGCCCGUCGCUACUACCGAUUGGAUGGUCCGGUGAAGCCUCGGGAUUGUGGUUCUUGCCGCUUUGUUGUGGCGUGACCGCGAGAACUUGUCUAAACCUUAUCAUCUAGAGGAAGGUGAAGUCGUAACA